GAUGAAGAACGUAGCAAAAUGCGAUACUUGGUGUGAAUUGCAGAAUCCCGUGAACCAUCGAGUUUUUGAACGCAAGUUGCGCCCGAAGCCUUUUGGCCGAGGGCACGUCUGCCUGGGCGUCACGCAUCGCGUCGCCCCCCACAAUUCUCCGUAAAGGGAACAUGUGUUUUGGGGGCGGAUAUUGGUCUCCCGUGCUCAUGGCGUGGUUGGCCGAAAUAGGAGUCCUUUCGAUGGACGCACAAACUAGUGGUGGUCGUAAAAACCCUCUUCUUUUGUUUCGUGCUGUUGCUCGCAAGGUAAACUCUUUAAAAACCCCAAUGUGUCGUCUCUUGACGACGCUUCGACCGCGACCCCAGGUCAGGCGGGACUACCCGCUGAGUUUAAGCAUAUCAAUAAGCGGAGGA
rnacentral:misc_RNA from 1 species